rnacentral:rRNA from 1 species
GAUGAACGCUGACAGAAUGCUUAACACAUGCAAGUCAACUUGAACUUCGGUUUGGGUGGCGGACGGGUGAGUAACGCGUAAAGAACUUGCCUCACAGAUAGGGACAACAUUUGGAAACGAAUGCUAAUACCUGAUAUUAUGAUUAUAUGGCAUCGUAUAAUUAUGAAAGCUAUAUGCGCUGUGAGAGAGCUUUGCGUCCCAUUAGCUAGUUGGAGAGGUAACGGCUCACCAAGGCGAUGAUGGGUAGCCGGCCUGAGAGGGUGAUCGGCCACAAGGGGACUGAGACACGGCCCUUACUCCUACGGGAGGCAGCAGUGGGGAAUAUUGGACAAUGGACCAAGAGUCUGAUCCAGCAAUUCUGUGUGCACGAUGAAGUUUUUCGGAAUGUAAAGUGCUUUCAGUUGGGAAGAAAAAAAUGACGGUACCAACAGAAGAAGUGACGGCUAAAUACGUGCCAGCAGCCGCGGUAAUACGUAUGUCACAAGCGUUAUCCGGAUUUAUUGGGCGUAAAGCGCGUCUAGGUGGUUAUGUAAGUCUGAUGUGAAAAUGCAGGGCUCAACUCUGUAUUGCGUUGGAAACUGUGUAACUAGAGUACUGGAGAGGUAAGCGGGAACUACAAGUGUAGAGGUGAAAUUCGUAGAUAUUUGUAGGAAUGCCGAUGGGGAAGCCAGCUUACUGGACAGAUACUGACGCUGAAGCGCGAAAGCGUGGUAGCAAACAGG